CAAAUACUCCCUCCAUCCGGAAAUACUUGUCAUCAAAACGGAUAAAAGGAAAUGUAUCUAGACGUAUUUUAGUUUUAGAUACAUCUCUUUUUAUCCAUUUUGAUGACAAGUAUUUUCGGAUGGAGGGAGUAGAAA
rnacentral:pre_miRNA from 1 species